rnacentral:rRNA from 1 species
AUUGAACGCUGGCGGCAGGCCUAACACAUGCAAGUCGAGCGGAUGAGAGGAGCUUGCUCCUCGAUUCAGCGGCGGACGGGUGAGUAAUGCCUAGGAAUCUGCCUAGUAGUGGGGGACAACGUUUCGAAAGGAACGCUAAUACCGCAUACGUCCUACGGGAGAAAGUGGGGGAUCUUCGGACCUCACGCUAUUAGAUGAGCCUAGGUCGGAUUAGCUAGUUGGUAGGGUAAAGGCCUACCAAGGCGACGAUCCGUAACUUGUCUGAGAGGAUGAUCAGGCACACUGGAACUGAGACACGGUCCAGACUCCUACGGGAGGCAGCAGUGGGGAAUAUUGGACAAUGGGCGAAAGCCUGAUCCAGCCAUGCCGCGUGUGUGAAGAAGGCCUUCGGGUCGUAAAGCACUUUAAGUUGGGAGGAAGGGCUCAUAGCGAAUACCUGUGAGUUUUGACGUUACCAACAGAAUAAGCACCGGCUAACUUCGUGCCAGCCGCCGCGGUAA